UGGGGAAUAUUGCGCAAUGGGCGAAAGCCUGACGCAGCGACGCCGCGUGAGGGAUGAAGGUUUUCGGAUCGUAAACCUCUGUCAGAAGGGAAGAAACCGCACUGUGCUAAUCAGCAGUGCCUUGACGGUACCUUCAAAGGAAGCACCGGCUAACUCCGUGCCAGCAGCCGCGGUAAUACGGAGGGUGCAAGCGUUAAUCGGAAUUACUGGGCGUAAAGCGCACGUAGGCUUCUUUGUAAGUCAGGGGUGAAAUCCCACGUCUCACCCGUUGAACUGCCUUUGAUACCUCUUAGCUUGAAUCCGGUAGAGGGUGGCGGAAUUCCAGGUGUAGUAGUGAAAUCCGUAGAUAUCUGGAGGAACAUCAGUGGCGAAGGCGGCCACCUGUACCGGUAUUGACGCUGAGGUGCGAAAGCGUGGGGAGCAAACAGG
rnacentral:rRNA from 1 species